UGGAUCCAGACUUUGAUUAUGGCUCAGGAUGAACGCUAGCGACAGGCUUAACACAUGCAAGUCGAGGGGCACAUGAUUUGUAGCAAUACAGAUUGAUGGCGACCGGCGCACGGGUGAGUAACGCGUAUGCAACUUACCUAUCAGAGGGGGAUAGCCCGGCGAAAGUCGGAUCAAUACCCCAUAAAACAGGGGUCCCGCAUGGGAAUAUUUGUUAAAGAUUCAUCGCUGAUAGAUAGGCAUGCGUUCCAUUAGGCAGUUGGCGGGGUAACGGCCCACCAAACCGACGAUGGAUAGGGGUUCUGAGAGGAAGGUCCCCCACAUUGGUACUGAGACACGGACCAAACUCCUACGGGAGGCAGCAGUGAGGAAUAUUAGUCAAUGGCCGAGAGGCUGAACCAGCCAAGUCGCGUGAAGGAAGAAGGAUCUAUGGUUUGUAAACUUCUUUUAUAGGGGAAUAAAGUGGAGGACGUGUCCUUUUUUGUAUGUACCCUAUGAAUAAGCAUCGGCUAACUCCGUGCCAGCAGCCGCGGUAAUACGGAGGAUGCGAGCGUUAUCCGGAUUUAUUGGGUUUAAAGGGUGCGUAGGUGGUGAUUUAAGUCAGCGGUGAAAGUUUGUGGCUCAACCAUAAAAUUGCCGUUGAAACUGGGUUACUUGAGUGUGUUUGAGGUAGGCGGAAUGCGUGGUGUAGCGGUGAAAUGCAUAGAUAUCACGCAGAACUCCGAUUGCGAAGGCAGCUUACUAAACCAUAACUGACACUGAAGCACGAAAGCGUGGGGAUCAAACAGGAUUAGAUACCCUGGUAGUCCACGCAGUAAACGAUGAUUACUAGGAGUUUGCGAUACAAUGUAAGCUCUACAGCGAAAGCGUUAAGUAAUCCACCUGGGGAGUACGCCGGCAACGGUGCAACUCAAAUGAAUUGACGGA
rnacentral:rRNA from 2 species